GACGAACGCUGGCGGCGUGCUUAACACAUGCAAGUCGAACGGAAAGGCCCUGCUUUUGUGGGGUGCUCGAGUGGCGAACGGGUGAGUAACACGUGAGUAACCUGCCCUUGACUUUGGGAUAACUUCAGGAAACUGGGGCUAAUACCGGAUCGGAGCUCCUGCUGCAUGGUGGGGGUAGGAAAGUUUCGGCGGUUGGGGAUGGACUCGCGGCUUAUCAGCUUGUUGGUGGGGUAGUGGCUUACCAAGGCUUUGACGGGUAGCCGGCCUGAGAGGGUGACCGGCCACAUUGGGACUGAGAUACGGACCAGACUCCUACGGGAGGCAGCAGUGGGGAAUAUUGCACAAUGGGCGGAAGCCUGAUGCAGCAGCGCCGCGUGCGGGAUGACGGCCUGCGGGUUGUAAACCGCUUUCGCCUGUGACGAAGCGUGAGUGACGGUAAUGGGUAAAGAAGCACCGGCUAACUACGUG
rnacentral:rRNA from 1 species